rnacentral:RNase_P_RNA from 1 species
CGUCCCGAUAGCUAUCGGGAUCGGGAAGGAAAGUCCGGGCACCAUAGGGAAGCAUAGCGGCUAGCGGCCGUCACCCUGUAGCAUGUGCUACAGGGGAGGACAAGUGCAACAGAAAGAAUGUACAGGUAAUGCUGUAGUGAAAUCAGGUAAACUCUAUGCGGUGAAAUGCCACGUAUAUCUGCGCUUAAGGGUUCCCGCCCAAUGCAGAAGGGUAGGCAGAUUGACCCCGAUAGUAAUGUCGGGGCUAGAUAAAUGA